rnacentral:sRNA from 1 species
GUGCACCCAGCCCCAGCCGUCCUGUCCUGGCCGCUCGCUCUGCUUCGCUGCGCCGCCACUAUGCUCUCCCUCCGUGUCCCGCUCGCGCCCAUCACGGACCCGCAGCAGCUGCAGCUCUCGCCGCUGAAGGGGCUCAGCUUGGUCGACAAGGAGAACACGGUGAGCGCGCGGGGAGGGCGCUGCGGGCAGGGGAGGGAGGCAGGGAAAGCGAAGCCGCCGCUCACUCACGCGUCUCCCCGCAGCCGCCGGCCCUGAGCGGGACCCGCGUCCUGGCCAGCAAGACCGCGAGGAGGAUCUUCCAGGAGCCCGCGGAGCCGAAAAGUAAAGCAGCUGCCCCCGGCGUGGAGGAUGAGCCGCUGCUGAGAGAAAACCCCCGCCGCUUUGUCAUCUUCCCCAUCGAGUACCAUGAUAUCUGGCAGAUGUAUAAGAAGGCAGAGGCUUCCUUCUGGACCGCCGAGGAGGUGGACCUCUCCAAGGACAUUCAGCACUGGGAAUCCCUGAAGCCCGAGGAGAGAUAUUUUAUAUCCCAUGUUCUGGCUUUCUUUGCAGCAAGCGAUGGCAUAGUAAAUGAAAACUUG